GACGAACGCUGGCGGCGUGCUUAACACAUGCAAGUCGAGCGAUGAAGUUCCUUCGGGAAUGGAUUAGCGGCGGACGGGUGAGUAACACGUGGGUAACCUGCCUCAUAGAGGGGAAUAGCCUUUCGAAAGGAAGAUUAAUACCGCAUAAGAUUGUAGUAUCGCAUGAUACAGCAAUUAAAGGAGUAAUCCGCUAUGAGAUGGACCCGCGUCGCAUUAGCUAGUUGGGGAGGUAACGGCUCACCAAGGCGACGAUGCGUAGCCGACCUGAGAGGGUGAUCGGCCACAUUGGGACUGAGACACGGCCCAGACUCCUACGGGAGGCAGCAGUGGGGAAUAUUGCACAAUGGGGGAAACCCUGAUGCAGCAACGCCGCGUGAGUGAUGACGGUCUUCGGAUUGUAAAACUCUGUCUUCAGGGACGAUAAUGACGGUACCUGAGGAGGAAGCCACGGCUAACUACAUGCCAGCAGCCGCCGUAA
rnacentral:rRNA from 1 species